rnacentral:lncRNA from 1 species
UGAUUGUGCUGAGAGUUUUAAGGAGUUUAAUGUGAAUAAUAUUAGGGAUACUUCAGGGUGAUUCUUCAGAUGGGUGUUGUGUUGAUGUUUGGUGGUCAAAUGCCUGUCAUCAAGGAUUCAUCGUGUUGGUCUUCGUGAAAAAGUAUACUUUAAACCAGAAGAUGAGAAGAUGAUCUGAAGGCUGCAAUUGUAAGCGGUUCUAGUUUCCAGGGUUUUUUAACUUACAUCUGCCAGUCGUAAACAUUGUUGUGAAGGUGAAAUUGAAACUCCAAGAGCCUGUGAACUCUCACAAUCUGCUUCCUCGAAACGAUUACCAUUUCAAAAGAUUCUGCUUCAUUUAAUCUCAGCGGAUUCUUCGACACUUGACAACAAUGAACCAUCAGCCAAAAUUGUUGGGUUUAGGGGCUAUGAUCUUAAAUCCUGACAUAAAUCAACAACAUUCUAAAGGAUGGAUAACAGAGAAGGAAGCACAUGCUGGAAAAGGUGGGCGAGUGCAAUCAACAAAAAAAGAGCAAGUUCAAGACAUGGCUGUUUGAUAGCUAGAUAUGGGACUAAUCAUGCUUCCUUUGAGUUGAUAUGAUUUUUUUAUCAUCAAGUGUUGUGGUCAGAUUGAGGGGAGGCUGGUCCAAUGGAAUGGAAAUUGGACAAGUGAAACCUGUAGUAUGUGAGCCAUAGCCAUCGGAAACUUCUCCAAUGGAAUGGAAGCUGGACAAGCUGGGGAAAAAAGGCAAAACCUGGAACUAAAAGGCACGUGUUUCAUCAAUGUCAGUUGCUUGGGACGUCUGAGAAUGACUCAUCACUGGCUCACAAUCUGAUUCAUCAACGGCACUUGCUUAAAUAAAUUUUAGGCGAUUUUCAACCUGUUUGACAUGCUCAUUUUUUUGCUAAACUUUUAGACUUAACCCGCUUGAGAUAAACACAACCUGAAUGACCCAUUUGUAACCAAUUACAUAAACAAUUUUCUUCAUCUUUUGUCUAAUCAGGACUAGAUACCCAAAAAUCGCAACAAUUGAACAACAGAAACAGUCUAAUUGGUUAUUUUUUUGUCUGAUUAGGAUCUCAUUUUUUGCCAUGACAUUUUUAGACCCCUCAAGAAUAAAGUCUCAGUACAUGGCUCUUAAAUUGCAUACAGGGAGGUAUACUUAAAUCUGAUAACUCAAUUAGCUACUCUAUUGUACUUGAUUAUUUAGAUCUAAUUUGUGUAACGUAUGUAGGCCUUAUAUAAUUUAUAUAUGGCACCUUGAAAUCGAUUUACUUAAAAAGAGUCGCCUUAUAUAAUUUAUACUUUAAACUUUAAACGUUGUUUUAUGGCCUAAAUAUAGUGAAUAGUUAGAGUAACUUUCCAUUGAAGGGUCGGAGGUGCUCUGGCAGUGGAGGCGGUGCUGGCGCGGAGGUUUACGGGGUCCAGUACUCCGGAACGAUACCAUGUAUUUUUAUGGUGAAAUCCGGAUGAAUAAGACUUAUCACUCUUUACAAGAUGGAAUUGAGGGCAGAAUAUGAGGAAUGCCUACUUAAACGUCAUGAUCAGAAUAAUAUGACCACCAUCAAGCAACAACUACUUGCAUUACUAUAACACCAGAUGCCAUGUAUGAAUUCCAGGAAUGUAUUGAUUGGAUGAUACACAUUUAAAGCGUCUUACAACAUGAAGACACUAAUUGAUAAAGGUUGAUCAAAUCUAAGCUGAUUCAAUAUAUUUUUGUAUUCAAAAUAGUGAUAAAUUUGUCUUCGAUUUCACAUUAAAACUGGUAUGCUUAAUAUUUGUCUUCGAUUUCACAUUAAAACUGGUAUGCUUAAACCUUAUAGGGUUUGAAAACAGUGGUUCAAACCACUGUUGUAAUCAAAUUGUGCUUGGAGAAAACAGUGGUUGAAACUACCGUUGGGUAAUAUUUUAUUGGGUUUACUGGGUUAAAACAGUGUUUUGUGGAGAAAACGGUGGUUGAAACCACUGUUGGGUUAAAACUUUGGUUUGAAACCGAUGUUCGGCUAAAACAGUGUUUUGUGGAGAAAACAAUGGUUGAAACGACUGAACCACUGUUUUAACCUAACAGUGGUUUCAACCACUGUGUUCUGCACAAAACAUUGUUUUAACCCAAUAAAAAAUUACCCAACAGUGGUUUGAACCACUAUUUUCUCCAAGCCCAACAGUGGUUUUUUUUAGUUACAGAUUAGCCAAGAUUAGUUACCUCAGAUUUGGUCUUAAUCACAAAAUGAUGGCUGGAAAAAGUGAAGAGAAAAGGAUGCACAAGACCUUGGAAUCGCCAUUGAACAUGAGUGAUAUGAUGACUCUCUUGGAGCUUAAAAAUGGAGGUCCAAUUUUUCCAGCCUAAUCAAUCCGCUCGAAAAAGAGCUAUGUGAAUUGCAAGCCUAAUCCAACUACGGAACAAUACUAAACGACGGAGUUAUUCAAAAGAGUCAUUCUGUCAAAGAUUAGCUGACUUCCUUUUCAUUUUCUUUUAUUUUCUCUAACAUAAAAAGAAGCCAAGGCAUUAUUUAUAUUAUAUAUUAAUGAAAUUCGUUGAUUAUUGUGUUACAUAUGUAGGUAUGGGUCGGUGUAUGGGACGACGGAGAGUGGUGUUGGAUGGCAUCUAUGGGACUGAAUGAAGGAUGUCAUGGGUCAAAUGGGCUGAAGGGGUUGAAAAAUGGGGAUAUCCGUGGCAUGGGAUACACGAGGAUCAUGGCUGGGAUAAGGAGAAAGUCGGAUGAGCCAUUGAGGAAUUACAAGCAAGAAUUGAAUAAGAUGAAAUAAAAGUCAAAAGAACGUGGAUAAUCACAAUCACUAGAAUGCUAGAGUGAUGAUAUUUGGUGCAACUAAUCGUCCUUCAGAGCUUGAAAAAGCAAUAUUUAGUCGACUUCCACAACCAUUUGAGAUAGAUUACCUAACCGGAAAGAAAGCGUUAGCAUUUUGAAGGUGAUUAAAAGUCAAGAGAUUAGAGGUAGGCAUUGAUCUUAAAUGAACAGCUGCAUGUGUCUAAUUAGAUGCACAUACAUAAAAGCCUUUAGAUGCACAUACAUGUGUCUAAUUCGUUUUGCUUCUCUUGUGUCUAAACAUGUUUUGUGGGUUCAUUAUGCUUCUCUUGUGUCUAAACUUAAUCAGUCGACAAGUUUAAUGUAUUCUUAAGUAUAAUGCGAAUGUGAAUUCAUUAAAUAAUUUCACAUCAUAUUUU